rnacentral:rRNA from 1 species
AGCGAACGCUGGCGGCAGGCCUAACACAUGCAAGUCGAGCGCCGUAGCAAUACGGAGCGGCAGACGGGAGAGUAACACGUGGGAACGUACCCUUCAGUACGGAACAACCAAGGGAAACUUUGGCUAAUACCGUAUACGUCCGUAAGGAGAAAGAUUUAUCGCUGAAGGAUCGGCCCGCGUCUGAUUAGCUAGUUGGUGAGGUAACGGCUCACCAAGGCGACGAUCAGUAGCUGGUCUGAGAGGAUGAUCAGCCUCACUGGGACUGAGACACGGCCCAGACUCCUACGGGAGGCAGCAGUGGGGAAUAUUGGACAAUGGGCGCAAGCCUGAUCCAGCCAUGCCGCGUGGGUGAUGAAGGCCCUAGGGUUGUAAAGCCCUUUCGGCGGGGAAGAUAAUGACGGUACCCGCAGAAGAAGCCCCGGCUAACUUCGUGCCAGCCGCCGCGGUAAUAC